CACCUAAUAGCUAGCCCCACAUUCAACUACAAAACUCAACUAUUAAUACCCCCUAAUACACUUAAUUAAAUAAAACAAACCAUUUUUCCCCCCAAGUACAGGCGAUAAAAAAGGACCAUGGAGCUAUAAAUAAAGUACCGCAAGGGAACGCUGAAAGAGAAAUGAAACAACUCAGUUAAGCACAAAAAAGCAGAGAUUUAACCUCGUACCUUUUGCAUCAUGAUUUAGCUAGUAAAAUUUAGGCAAAGAGCACUUUAGUCUAACUCCCCGAAACUAGACGAGCUACUCCAAGACAGCCUGCAUAGGGCACAUCCGUCUCUGUGGCAAAAGAGUGGAAAGAGCUUUGAGUAGAGGUGAUAAACCUACCGAGUCUAGUAAUAGCUGGUUGCCCGAAAAUUGAGUUUAAGCUCAGCUUUUUGCUUUCUUAAUUCACAGACAUAAAAUACAACAGACUCCAAGAAACCAAAAAAGUAAGUCAAAGGGGGUACAGCCCCUCUGACCAAAGAAACAACUUUUCCAGGAGAAUAAGGAUCAAAAUAAUUAAGGCCACAUGUUUAGGUGGGCUUAAGAGCAGCCACCCUGUUGAAAGCGUUAAAGCUCAGACAUACUCACGCCACUAAUACCGAUCAUACGCAUCCUAAUCCCUACCCUACUAUCGGGCCCUUCUAUGCUCACAUAGAAGAGAAUAUGCUAAUAUGAGUAACAAGGGGGACGACCCCCUCCAAGCACAAGUGUACAUCGGAACGAACCCCCACCGAAAACUAACGGCCUCAGCCAAAGAGAGUAAUGAAUUUUAAACUAAAUACAAGAAAAACAUUCACCACCUUAACCGUUAACCCCACACUGGCGUGCCUGACUGGAAAGACUAAAAGAAAAACAUUCACCACCUUAACCGUUAACCCCACACUGGCGUGCCUGACUGGAAAGACUAAAAGAAAAAGAAGGAACUCGGCAAACCUGAUAAAGCCUCGCCUGUUUACCAAAAACAUCGCCUCUUGCAAACAAUGAAUAAGAGGUCCCGCCUGCCCUGGGACUAUAUGUUUAACGGCCGCGGUAUUUUGACCGUGCAAAGGUAGGGCAAUCACUUGUCCUUUAAAUGAGGACCUGUAUGAAUGGCACAACGAGGGCUUAACUGUCUCCUUUUUCAAGUCAAUGAAAUUGAUCUUCCCGUGCAGAAGCGGGAAUAAAGACAUAAGACGAGAAGACCCUAUGGAGCUUUAGACACAAAACAGAUCACGUCAAACACCCUCCAAUAAGAGUAUAAACUAAGUGAGCCCUGCUUAAAUGUCUUUGGUUGGGGCGACCGCGGGGUAACAAAAAACCCCCAAGUGGAAUAAAAACACCCUUUUUAAAACUAAGAGCUACCGCUCUAAUGAACAGAAUAUCUGACCUGUGAGAUCCGGCCCAGCCGAUCAACGAACCGAGUUACCCUAGGGAUAACAGCGCAAUCCUCUUUUAGAGCCCAUAUCGACAAGAGGGUUUACGACCUCGAUGUUGGAUCAGGACAUCCUAAUGGUGCAGCCGCUAUUAAGGGUUCGUUUGUUCAACGAUUAAAGUCCUACGUGAUCUGAGUUCAGACCGGAGUAAUCCAGGUCAGUUUCUAUCUAUGAAGUGACCUUUUCCAGUACGAAAGGACCGAAAAGGAAAGGCCCAUGCUAAAAGCACGCCUUUCUCUCACCCGUUGCCUCCAACUAAAACAGGCAAGAGAGCACACAAAAUAGUUAAAGAACAUAACAU
rnacentral:rRNA from 1 species